GGUUACUGCUAUCGGUGUUCGCCUUAGCCAUGCGAGUCAUAUGUUCUGCAGAACAUGGCGUACUGCUCAGUAACACGUGGAUAACCUGCCCUUGGGUCCGGCAUAACCCCGGGAAACUGGGGAUAAUUCCGGAUAACGCACAUAUGCUGGAAUGCUUUAUGCGUCAAAUGGAUUCGUCUGCCCAAGGAUGGGUCUGCGGCCUAUCAGGUAGUAGUGGGUGUAAUGUACCUACUAGCCUACGACGGGUACGGGUUGUGAGAGCAAGAGCCCGGAGAUGGAUUCUGAGACAUGAAUCCAGGCCCUACGGGGCGCAGCAGGCGCGAAAACUUUACAAUGCGGGAAACCGUGAUAAGGGGACACCGAGUGCCAGCAUCAUAUGCCGGCUGUCCGGGUGUGUAAAAUACACCUGUUAGCAAGGGCCGGGCAAGACCGGUGCCAGCCGCCGCGGUAACACCGGCGGCCCGAGUGGUGAUCGUGAUUAUUGGGUCUAAAGGGUCCGUAGCCGGUUUGGUCAGUCCUCCGGGAAAUCUGACGGCUUAACCGUUAGGCUUUCGGGGGAUACUGCCAGACUUGGAACCGGGAGAGGUAAGAGGUACUACAGGGGUAGGAGUGAAAUCUUGUAAUCCCUGUGGGACCACCUGUGGCGAAGGCGUCUUACCAGAACGGGUUCGACGGUGAGGGACGAAAGCUGGGGGCACGAACCGGAUUAGAUACCCGGGUAGUCCCAGCCGUAAACGAUGCUCGCUAGGUGUCAGGCAUGGCGCGACCGUGUCUGGUGCCGCAGGGAAGCCGUGAAGCGAGCCACCUGGGAAGUACGGCCGCAAGGCUGAAACUUAA
rnacentral:rRNA from 1 species